UACGGAGGGGGCAAGCGUUAUUCGGAAUCAUUGGGCGUAAAGGGCGCGUAGGCGGCUUCAUAAGUCUUGGGUGAAAGCCCUCGGCUCAACCGAGGAAUUGCCUUGGAUACUGUGAAGCUCGAGGCUGGAAGAGGGCAGUGGAAUUCCCGGUGUAGCGGUGAAAUGCGUAGAUAUCGGGAGGAACAUCAGUUGCGAAGGCGGCUCUCUGGACCAGCACUGACACUGAGGCACGAAAGCGUGGGGAGCAAACAGG
rnacentral:rRNA from 1 species